AGUUUGAGGAAAUUUUUAUGUAACGAUGAAAAACUAUAAAAGUUGUUCCAAGAACAGUAAUGAUGUUUAUAUAUAAACAAAUGAGAAGAAUAAUAACGUUUAUGUGAUGUGUUAAAAGAAAGAAGCACCUCUCCGUUCAGUUUUUUAUUUGAAUUGAGUUGGAAAGCUGAGUGAUGCGCCGCUGGCUUUGAUUGGUUUGUGGUCUGAAUGUCGUUCCCCUCCCCUCUCAUUCAG
rnacentral:lncRNA from 1 species